UCCUGGUUUUAAAAGGCGUACGAAAAUAUCGCUCGCCUGGGUAUGGGCGAACUCACAUACAAUAGGCGCCAUGAGGCGGGCGCCUCCGAGUAGGGCGCCGGCCGCAGCGCCUAUCGCUUAUGGUAUCUGUUUUCACCUUUUAUUAUAUUAAUAAAUAAUUAUAAUUUUAAACCUAAAAAAGCCUACCUUUUAAAAUCCAAAAUCCCUAACUUAUCUCUCUCCAUCGCACACACUCCAGCUGAUCUCUUCUUCGUCGGCAGUCACGGCUGUCACAGCAGUCACCACUGCCGGGCGCCGACCAGGUAGGAUUUAAUAUGAGGAAGGUAACUAAAGGAAAUGUUACGAUAAAGUUAUGGGAUCUUGAAGGUCAACCAAGGUUUCGAAGUGUGUGGGACAGAUACUGCCGGGCUGUUUCAGCUAUUUUGUUUAUGUUGUUGUUGCUGCCGACAACGAUAAGUUUCAAGAAGAGAAGUGCACGACCUGUUAAGUAAAUCCUCAUCAAGUGGCAUUCCCCUACUUUGUGGGAAACAAGAUAGACAAAUCAGAAGCCUUGUCUAAGGAGAAUUUGACGGAGCAAUGUAAGUGCAGAGUUAAGAAGAAAACCUUGGUGCUUAAACAAAGGUAACCUGACGUAACCAAAGCCGAAUCAUAAGUAUUAUAUAUAAAUUUGUUUGGUGGGUGAGUCGGGCAUAAAUUUGGUUGAUCCUUUGUGUACAGAUGCUGAUGGUUUGUAAACAAAUAAAAAGGAUUUUGAUGCACUUCAAAUUUUUUGGGGGUUUGAAACAUAAAGGUAUCAUACUCAAAGUCAACUCAACUAACUAAACCCAACUAAAUAAUAAAACCUAAAUCCGAUUACCCAAUUAAAUAGUAAAAGCGAAACUAAAAAAAAAGACUAAACGUAACUUACUAAUACUAUCUUCACUUCUCGGUUCACACGAGUCACGGCAGAGGGUAGAGCAAUUGGCAGAAUUGGUCACCAAUG